rnacentral:rRNA from 1 species
GAUGAACGCUGGCGGCGUGCCUAAUACAUGCAAGUCGAGCGAAAGGAUUAAGAGCUUGCUCUUAUGAAGUUAGCGGCGGACGGGUGAGUAACACGUGGGUAACCUGCCCAUAAGACUGGGAUAACUCCGGGAAACCGGGGCUAAUACCGGAUAACAUUUUGAACCGCAUGGUUCGAAAUUGAAAGGCGGCUUCGGCUGUCACUUAUGGAUGGACCCGCGUCGCAUUAGCUAGUUGGUGAGGUAACGGCUCACCAAGGCAACGAUGCGUAGCCGACCUGGGAGGGUGAUCGGCCACACUGGGACUGAGACACGGCCCAGACUCCUACGGGAGGCAGCAGUAGGGAAUCUUCCGCAAUGGACGAAAGUCUGACGGAGCAACGCCGCGUGAGGGAUGAGGGCUUUCGGGUCGUAAAACUCUGUUGUUAGGGAAGAACAAGUGCUAGUUGAAUAAGCUGGCACCUUGACGGUACCUAACCAGAAAGCCACGGCUAACUACGUGCCAGCCGCCGCCGUAA